CGGCCGGAAGUGCUCACGGCGGCGGCAGCUCUGAGCUUGCGCGAAAUGGUCGGUGGGGUGUACGUCUGAGGCGGCGCUGCAGCGUUCGUGUUGAGUGUGGAGUUACACGAUUUUCUCUCCGAAAAGGCCGCGGAGGACCCCCCCCGGAAUGCGGUCUGCCAGGCCUGGUAAGAACAUGAGUCCAAGGAGUUCCUACUAUGGCACAGUGGAUGAAGGAUUCGACUAUUGCAGCAGCUCAAGUCGCUUCCGGAGGCAAGAGUUCCAUCCCUGGUCUGGCACGCUGCUGCGGUUCAAUUAAAUCCCUGGCCCAGACACUUCCCAUGUACCAAAAAAGAAUAUGCAGUCCAAAAGUAGAAGGAGUUUUAUUAUGAUUAACUUUUUCCCCUAAUAGAGACUGUUUGCCAGUUGUCUCAAUCUUCUUCAAGAACAACCUCAAAAAAAAAAGCCAACCCCAAAGUGGGACACAUAGCCAUCCAAAACAUACUAGCCUCCCCUGCAAGCUACCUCUGGUCACAAGUGAUUAAUUCCUGGACCCAACAGGAUAUAAGCACAAAAUACGCAAAUUAUGGAAAGCAUACUCAAAAGGAAAACAGGCCCAAUCCUUUUUUUCUCCUUCCUCUUGGUUAUGAGAAAAAUAUGACGUAAUCAGGGAGCUAAAGAAGCCAACUAAGAUUACAGAAGUGAUUAUAAAUAGCAAAUGGCCCCUGAUUGUAGAAGCUAUCAGCAGACCCAGGUAGCCUUUUACGAAAGAGGGAAAAAAAUCUUUAACUUGUGACAGUUACCUUUCCCUGUUACUCAGCAUUAUAGAUUUGUAGUAGACCUUGUAUAAACUUCAAAAGUUGCUUUAUACUUUGUUCAAAAUUAAAAGCAAAAAAACUGAACGCUAAUUGCACAUAUACAUGUACCUGCUACCUCAAACAUGGACCUUUGGUUUUCCAAUAAGUUACUGGCCUAUCCAAAACUUUUAAUCUGUAAUCCUAAGGCAUAUGAUAUUCAAUGUCUAAUCAUCAAGAAUAGGUACAACUGUAGCUCUGAAAGUCUUAAAAACAAGUAUGUACCCCCCAUAAGGAUCUUUAAAAAAAAAAAAUCAAAAUUCCCAGUCUCAUUUUUAUUGCUUCCAGUAGCAACAGUAAUUUUAUAGAGAGUUAGCCAUCACCACCAAUUUUUUGACCAAUGUGGAUAUCUACAUGUGAAUUUGUUGGCUAGGGGUGAGAAAGGUGCAAUCUCGUCACAUUUUCUGGCAUACAAGAACUGAACCCAUAACCCGUAAUAAGCACUGUCAUCAACUUAAUUUCUAUCCUGUGACUGGUUGGUUAAGCACCAAUUUGCUAUAAUUUGUGGAACAUAAUCAAGCCUUAAAACAAUUGUAUUAUGUUGCUUGAUGGCCGUAAGGCCACCAAGUCAAAUUAUGCUUAAUACCAUAAUUGGUAAUACUUAACAGUUACCGCAUUCACUCCUGAAAUACUGCUUUAACAUUUGCUGUUAAGGCUCUGCAAAUAGCCUGUUACUUUAUUUCUUCUACGUAAUUGUUGAUUAGUCUCAAGAGAAAGUAAAAUACUAACUAGCUUUUGUACUCCUAUUAUGUAUGCCCUACAACAUGUAUGUUUAGAUAGAAGUCACAACCCCUACCUUACCUUCUCUAUAAACCAUGGAAACAGGUUCACCUUCAUCAAGAUUUGAUAAUAAGGGAAAAAUCUUUAAGCAGCUUCAAACUCAGAUGAGAAUUCUACCUAUAUAUAUAUUUUUUUCUGCAUGGUUUAACUAUAUAUUUCUAACUACAUGUAAGGGAAAUUUUUCAAAAUCCAACAUUUAUUUCAGCACCAAGGGCUUGUCACAGAGGGUGAGGGAAAGUAAAGGCUGUUAGGUAUAAACAAAGUAGCUACUAAGACAACACUGCAAGAUACAAUCAUGAGGGCAGACAGUUGUGGAUGGGAAAAAUACUAAUAUAAAACAAAUACCAGCUUUUGAAAUUCAUACUGCAUGCUGAACCACCUUAUAUAAAAACUACCCUAGUAUCACACCUCAGUGACUCAUCAUCAGUCUAAAGUAUCUCUGGAGAUCAGUUACUGUCUCGUUAGAUAAAGGCAAGUGGCUUGGUCAAUAAAGACUAACACUAAUUAACAAUGGAUUAAAUGUAUCAUUUCAGAUACCACAGGAUUUUCUUUUACUCAUUACUCCACACAAACCACUUAGUAAAUUAGGUUAACUUUUUGAUAGCACAGUCUAGUUUACUUAGUGCUCAUUGAUGAUUAUGUUAGAAUCCUGAAACUAGAAAUGGGAUUACUGCAGGCAAAGUUCUAAAAAGUACUACUAGGAGUGAGACGUUUCACAAUUAAUAUUUUUCCAGAUUUUGGAAAGAUUAUAGUUUACAUUCCGCCCAUUACAGGACAGUCCCAGAGAGACUCUUGUCUGACAUCACGCCAACAUAUGGCCAAUAUGGCAUAUUGUCAUAUUGCCAAGAACAUUAUGCCAACAUUUUACAGGACUAGAACAGUACAGUUCGUUGUUACCACAUAAAAAGACAAUCUACUUCAAAUUUAUCAUCUAUAGUAAAAAAAAAAAAAAAAAAAAAAGACUUUU